rnacentral:rRNA from 1 species
CGCUGGCGGCGUGCCUAAUACAUAGCAAGUCGAACGGUCUUUCUAUGGAAGCUUGCUUCCACUGAGAAGAUAGUGGCGAACGGGUGAGUAACACGUGGGUAACCUGCCCAUAAGAGGGGGGAUAACAUCCGGAAACGGGUGCUAAUACCGCAUAGUUUUCUUGAUCGCAUGAUCGGGAAAGGAAAGACGGCCUUUGUGCUGUCGCUUAUGGAUGGACCCGCGGCGUAUUAGUUAGUUGGUGAGGUAACGGCUCACCAAGACGAUGAUACGUAGCCGACCUGAGAGGGUGAUCGGCCACAUUGGGACUGAGACACGGCCCAAACUCCUACGGGAGGCAGCAGUAGGGAAUCUUCCGCAAUGGACGAAAGUCUGACGGAGCAACGCCGCGUGAGUGAAGAAAGGUUUUCGGAUCGUAAAACUCUGUUGUCAGAGAAGAACAAGUUGGAGAGUAACUGCUCCAGCCUUGACGGUAUCUGACCAGAAAGCCACGGCUAACUACGUGCCAGCAGCCGC